CUGAACGUCGUAGUACCGCUCAAUAUUUGCCUCAACGUGUCAGUCAUGCAAUCUCAGACAUAUUUAGACAUGUGGCAAAUCUAUAGCUAAUACAUGUAAAAACAGCCGGCUUGCUGGCUGUACAUUUAUCGGCCAACCGACCGCGGUAAUUCCAGCUCCAGUAGUGUAUAUCAACAUUGUUGCGCUUAAAACGCUCGUAGUUGGAUUACAGGACUGCAACACAGCCCUGCAUUGCUGUGGAUGUGGUCGUAGCAAGCCACUGUUAGUCUAAUUUGGUGGCCAGCCCGGUCAUUGAGUUGGUGUCUAACAGAAGGUAGCUCGAUGCAGUCCUUUUGUCGCACUGGUGCCUGAAAGUAGCUUUGUUGUUGCUAGAUGGAUACCGGUGGAGUGUGCCUUGAAUAAAGCAUAGUGCUCAAUGCAGGCGUACGCUCGUGUGUAAUAGCAUGGAACGAAUAUUUUGGCCGGUUGCUACUAGUUGUGGUUUUGCUGCAGGUUAGUAGUAGUUCGGUUCGAUCAGUGUUGGUUGGAACCACGGUCUCAACGGUUAAAAGGGACAUCUGAGGGCACUAGUACUUUGUGGCGAGAGGUGAAAUUCUUAGACCCACAAAAGACUGACUAUUGCGAAAGCAUUUGCCAAGAGUGUUUUCAUUAAUCAAGAACGAAGGUCAGAGGAUCGAAGACGAUCAGAUACCGUCCUAGUUUUGACAGCAAACAAUGCCAGCAUAGGGUCGCGGCGGUCACCCGUAUGAGCGGGUUGAACUAGUGCGGUUCUUAGGGGAAACUUAGCUUUCGGGCUGCUGGGAGAAUAUCGCUGCAAGGCUGAAAUUUAAAGAAAUUGACUAGCGACUACGUACGUACGUUUUACACGCGCGUGAUGCACAUUUUAGCUCGUAGUACCAUGAUUCGAUCAACAUUGGUAGGAUUGACAGAUUGGUAGGUCUUUCAUGAUUCAGUGAAUGGUGGUGCAUGGCCGUUCUUAGUUGGUGGAGUGAUCUGUCAGGUUUAUUCCGGUAACGAUCGAGACCACGGCCUUUAGUUGGUAGUGAGGUGCAGAGCUCUAAACAGGGCGGCCCAUUCAUGGGCUGUGUUGGUCGCACCGUGCUCAUCGAGCUAGGCAACUAGACGACGGGUUGGUGUGGCGGAGCUCUUUUGUCGCACUGGUUCUGGCYGGYGUCUUUACUGACGCUGGYCAAUAGCCGGUGGAGUGUGCCUUGAAUAAAGCAUAGUGCUCAAAGCAGGCGAACGCUCGUAUGUAAUAGCAUGGAACGAAUAUUUUGACCGGGGCUGGCCGCUGUGCAUGUUUUGCGUGUGCGGGUCAGUGUCGGGCUCAACUAGUGUUGGUUGGAGCCGCGGUCUCAACGGUUAACAGGGACACCUGAGGGCACUAGUACUUUGUGGCGUAGCGACUACGUACGUACGUUUUACACGCGCGUGAUGCACAUUUUAGCUCGUAGUACCAUGAUUCGAUCAGUGAAAAGCCGGCGGAAGCGUGGCAAUAACAGGUCUGUGAUGCCCUUCGAUGUCCUGGGCUGCACGCGCGGGGCUGCACGCGCGCUACAAUGGCAGCAGUAGAGAGCGUUGGCUAGCCAGAGAUGGCCGGCUAAACUGUAAAUAGCUGUCGUGAUAGGGAUUGAGCCUUGUAAUUAUUGCUCAUGAAAGAGGAAUUCCUCGUAAGCACGACGAUGUGCAGAAUCUGAUCGAUAUAUUUUCGUACGUAUACAGACGUUUACACAGGUGCGAUACGUACGUU
rnacentral:rRNA from 1 species